rnacentral:rRNA from 1 species
CCUACGGGAGGCAGCAGUAGGGAAUUUUCGGCAAUGGGGGGAACCCUGACCGAGCAACGCCGCGUGAACGAAGAAGUUAUUCGUAAUGUAAAGUUCUUUUAACAGGGAAGAAAGAGAAAUUUGACGGUACCUGAAGAAUAAGCUCCGGCUAACUACGUGCCAGCAGCCGCGGUAAUACGUAGGGAGCGAGCGUUAUCCGGAAUUAUUGGGCGAAAAGGGUGCGUAGAUGGCAUAGUAAGUCUUUUGUAAAAAUGCUGGGCUCAACCCAGUAGGGCAAAAGAUACUGCAAAGCUAGAGUAUGACAGAGGCAAGUGGAACUACAUGUGGAGCGGUAAAAUGCGUAAAUAUAUGUAAGAACACCAGUGGCGAAGGCGGCUUGCUGGGUCGAUACUGACAUUGAGGCACGAAAGCGUGGGGAGCAAACAGGAUUAGAUACCCCAGUAGUC